rnacentral:tRNA from 1 species
CGGGGUGUGGCGCAGCCUGGUAGCGCACCUGCAUGGGGUGCAGGGGGUCAGAGGUUCAAAUCCUCUCACCCCGACCA